AUUUUUCGGUAGAUGUUGUGAGCAAACAUGGAACCGGCAGAGAGCAACGCAGAAUCUCCUGAAGACAUUACAGCAGCUGCUAUGGCACCCAAGCCACCGAUGGAAAUGUGGCUAAAUUUAGUUUCUGCCAAGACAAAUGAAAGACACCAUAUUACCUAAAGAGGCAAGAACAGCAGCAAACCAGAAUAUGUCCGCAAUCAAUGGAGGAAUAAAAAGAAGACAGCCCAUCACGUUCCCAUACAUCUCUUGAAUUGGAUCCAUCAGAGUCAGUGUAUGAGGAAACCACCAGAAGAAAUCUCAAAGUAUAAGUCUAUUUCAGCAAUGCGCAUUAUAAAACUCUUUUCAGGAAUGGGGUUAUUGACACGGACUCUACAGAGGCUCGUGAACAAGAAGACUUCCAGAAUGAGUCUUGUCCCAGGAGACAAUCAAUCAAUCAAGAAACUACCAAACCAGCUAACAGUAAACAGCCCACUUAAAGAAUCCCCAAGACUACUCCCACCAACAUUGGCAGGGUAGGCCACUAGAAUAUCAAUGGACAGCAAACCCCACUCGCCACUAAUACUGGUGACGUUCCCUAGUUUGGGUAAUGAAAUGUCUGCAAGAAAACAACCAAGCUCAGAGAGUACCAAAGACCCCUCAUUUCAAUCCUGAGAUACAAAUAUUCUCCUGUAUUGAUAACAAAGGAGAUACAGGUAGACUCUGACUUACAACAGUUCAUUUAGUGAGGGUUCGAAGUUACAACGGU